AUGAAGAACAUCGAUGCGGUUAUGGAUUCAAACUUUGUUACAGGGACGUGGAUCAAAGAUGAAGCUGAUGAUGAUAUUGUUGUUGUUGAAGAGACGUUGUUGCAUUUACGUGAUGAAGAUGAUCGAAAACUGUGGAACUGGACUGCUUAUUAUGUUUAUGAAUAUGACAGGGAUGAAGAUAAUUGUGGACUGGAGAAUCAGUUUCAACGAACUAGAUUCAGCUAG